rnacentral:piRNA from 1 species
AGGCUCAGUUCUCCUCUCCCUCCCUU